UAAACACCACAGAAGAAGAUGUUACCAUGGUUACCGGACGUUACCUGUCUCCUGUCUCAUCACUAGUCCUGUUUCUUUUCAGGUAGGCUGGACACACCCAUCCCUGUCGAGCAGGGUUGGUUUUGGUGGGUUUGGUCCUCACCAGCCACCUGUCAGGGUGAACAGAGUCCAGGACCUCGACAAACUGGCCCUCCUUCAGAACAAAGCUUUCCUUUGUUCCGCUGUUUGGACUGCAAUCAGCUCGAGCCACGUACAUUUCAAAUAUCUGAGACGCAGCUGUACUCGCCAACAUCCUCGGGCUGGACGUUUUUGAUGUGCAUCUCGGCUGUCUUCCCCUUCAGCGUCAUCUGAUAUCUUCCCCCAUGAUGCAGCUGGUCGUCCGCCUUCCACCACUGCACGGGCACCCCGGCCCUGGACAGCUCACAGCGAAGGGACACGAGGCCUCCUUCGGGGGCCUCCUGGUUCUUCAGACCCAUUUUAAAGCGAGGCCAGGCUUAGACAGCUCGCAGUUCAGCAUCAAGCUGUUCUCCUCCUCCACCUGCUGGUUCCUUAACUUUGUCUUGAAUGUGAUGGGAGGAGCUGCAAGGAGAAGAACCCAGGGCUGGUAUAAUCUCCAGUGUCGUCCAGACUGAGGUCCGCAAUCUUCAUCUCCACCUGCAGGUCCUUCUUUCUCAUCUGGUAUUUGUCUCCAUUUUUCAGCAGCUCUUCUCCUCUCCUCCACUCCACUGAUGGGGCAGGCUUCAGGACCGCCCGGCCUUUCCUCCACUCCACUGGAGCUCCAGGUUUGGAGAGCUCACAGGUGAAAACUCCACUGUCUCCCUCCUUCACCUCCAGGUGCUGGAGCUCUCGUUUGAAUGUCACAGGAAGUGCUGUGCUGUACCUCCCUGCAUCUUCUGGUUGGACGUUGAGAAUAGUCAUCUGAGCUGUCUUUCCUUCCAGCUUCAUCUCAUACUUCCCUCGAUAGAUCUCCUCAGACAGCACCUGGGUGUCUCUCUGCCACUGCACCGAGACUCCCUUCUUUGACAGCUCACAGCCAGAUCUCCUCCAAGACUCCACUCCACUGGGACACCCGCUUUAGAGAUCUCACAAUACAGUGGGAUGUCGUGUCCUUCCCCUACUUGGAGGUUCUUCAGCUUUUGCUUGAAGGUGAUGGGAAGAGCUGACAGGUAAAGGCUUCGACAGCUCACAGCGCAGAGCCGCAGUGUUGCCCUCCUCAAUCAGCACGUUCCUCAGCUUCUGCUUGAAGGUGACUGGGAGAGCUGAGGAGGUAUGGGUGACCAUAGAUUGAGGUACCUUUCUCCAGGCCUGAUGUUUUCAAAACCUCUCUUCCAGUGGACGUGGACCCCAGGCAGAGAGUAUUCACAGGUCAGGGUCACGGUCUCCCCCUCUUUGGCCUCCACAGGUUCCAGAGACUGGGUGAACUCUGCUGGGAUGGCUAAAGAAAGACAGCAAAGAGACAGGUGACGGUCAGGGACAGCACCACACCCUUCUGCCUGAUGACGUACUUCCUACCGGACCUCAGCUCCACCAUGCCCUUCAGCCAGGUCACCCGCUUGGCUGGCCGCCUGGUCUCACACUCCAAGUUAACUUUACCCUUUUCCUCUCCUCGCAUGUCCAUUAACUCCCUCGCAAAUGUGUGCUGGAGUUCUGAAAGGAAUAAUGAAGUUCAUGAAAUUGAGUCAGGUUUGCCAUUUGUCGGGGUUUGACAUGGCAAAAUAGGACAUUUGAGGGAAACAUUGCACAAUACUACAGUAAAGAACACUAAAAUGUAUUGUCAAUAGUCCUCAUCUAACAUUUAUUUUGAAAGCCCUCAACUACCUCUGAUCUCCAGCUUGGCACGCGAGGCAACGCCGUCGGCCUCACAGCAGUACUCUCCAGAGUCUCUGAUGGUGGCAUUCCUGAUCACCAAUCGCGCCAGCUCAGCUCUGGGUCCUCGCCCGGCACCGCCUUGACAUUCAACAGCUCCCUGAAGAUGUGCACUGGCUUCUCUGAAGGAGGGGACAUGCAUUCACUCACAUUCAGGUGUAUUUGUAUAAAUGCAUUUACCGAAUGGCACAUUUCAAAAUAAAACACAGAAACAAAUUGCUAAUCAUUUUAUCUGA